CAAGACCUUGCGCUUUUGGAGCGGCCGAUGUCUGAUUAGCUAGUUGGUGAGGUAAAGGCUUACCAAGGCNUCGAUCAGUANCUGGUCUGAGAGGACGACCAGCCACACUGGGACUGAGACACGGCCCAGACUCCUACGGGAGGCAGCAGUGGGGAAUUUUGGACAAUGGGGGAAACCCUGAUCCAGCCAUGCCGCGUGAGUGAAGAAGGCCUUAGGGUUGUAAAGCUCUUUCAGCCGGAACGAAACGGUCACGGUUAAUACCCGUGANCACUGACGGUACCGGAAGAAGAAG
rnacentral:rRNA from 1 species